rnacentral:rRNA from 1 species
CCUACGGGAGGCAGCAGUGGGGGAUAUUGCACAAUGGGGGAAACCCUGAUGCAGCGACGCCGCGUGAGGGAUGAAGUAUUUCGGUUUGUAAAGCUCUAUCAGCAGGGAAGAAAAUGACAGUACCUGACCAAGAAGCCCCGGCUAACUACGUGCCAGCAGCCGCGGUAAUACGUAGGGGGCAAGCGUUAGUCGGAUUUACUGGGCGUAAAGGGAGCGUAGACGGUUUUGUAAGUCUGGAGUGAAAGCCCGGUGCCCAACCACGGGACUGCUUUGGAAACUGUGUAACUGGAGUACAGGAGGGGCAGGCGGAAUUCCUGGUGUAGGGGUGAAAUGCGUAGAUAUCAGGAGGAACACCGGCGGCGAAGGCGACCUGCUGGACUAAAACUGACGUUGAGGCUCGAAAGCGUGGGGAGCAAACAGGAUUAGAUACCCUUGUAGUC